AUAGAUAUCUUUCUUGUAAUUGUCAUUGUCGUACUUCAUUCUUUUUGUUCGUUUUCAUUUGUUUCGUUCGUUCUUGUUGGAAUCUUUUCAAUUCUUUUGUACGUAUUACCAAUUCACCACAUCACACUCAUUCUCUACUACACCUUCUCUACACAAACACAUUCGAUCGUUUCCUUUCUUCAUUAUAUUAACACUAUGGCACCAAAUCUCUCUCUCAUUAACUUUAAUACCUUCAAGAAUAAUGGAGACUUCUUGUUAGUCGUGUAAAUGUGGCCUAAAUUAAAAAUACAUUUAAGGAAAUGUAGGAAGCUCUAUGUCCAUGGAUAAUGAACUAAAGGCUCCAUUUGUAGGCUGCUGAAGUUGAGGCUGAAGGCUCUGGACUUAUGAGUAAUUUGAUCUAAUUGAUAAUCAUGGUGUGUGCAUACGAGUGUUAGGUGAUAUUAAAUUAUUACCAACUGAUGUACAAGAUUCAAUAGCAAGAGCUGUGACAAUGACUAAAAACAAUAACAAGUAAGUACAUGUACAUGUACUUAUUAUAAUUACAUAAAGUAUACUUACUUGUACUGGAAAGUGUGUCAGUAUAUCAGCAUAGUUGGCAAACAACUUUGUUACCACAGACGGACAAACUACUGUCCAAGCUCCACACUACAUGUACAGUAAAUUUGUAAAUACAUGUAGAGUGGACAUGUACUCAUUAUUGUGUGUAGACCACAUAAUUAGAAUACUUUUUGUAAUGUGUGCAUGAGGUUGAUUGUAGUUGUGCUACACGUAGUUAUUUCAUUCAUCAGGUAACUAUAAGCCUCCUCUAUCUAAACUGCCCAUACCUUAGCU